rnacentral:misc_RNA from 1 species
UUGUCGAUGAGGCAAUCAAUGAUGACAACUCUGUGGUUGCGCUUCACCCUGACACUAUGGAGAAGCUUCAACUUUUCCGUGGCGACACGAUCUUGAUCAAGCGUACUUCUUGGAAGCCUAUCGCCCAGUGAGGAAGGGUGAUCUCUUUCUUGUGAGGGGAGGAAUGAGAAGUGUGGAGUUCAAGGUCAUUGAAACUGAUCCUCCUGAAUAUUGUGUGGUUGCCCCUGAUACUGAAAUCUUCUGUGAUGGGGAGCCUGUGAAAAGAGAGGACGAAGAUAGAUUAGAUGAGGUUGGUUAUGAUGACGUUGGUGGUGUUAGAAAACAAAUGGCACAAAUUCGUG